CAGCCGCCGCGGGAAUACGAAGGGUGCAAGCGUUACUCGGAAUUACUGGGCGUAAAGCGUGCGUAGGUGGCGGUUUAAGUCCGUUGUGAAAGCCCUGGGCUCAACCUGGGAAUUGCAGUGGAUACUGGGUCACUAGAGUGUGGUAGAGGAUAGUGGAGUUUCCGGUGUAGCAGUGAAAUGCGUAGAGAUCGGAAGGAACAUCUGUGGCGAAGGCGACUGUCUGGGCCAACACUGACACUGAGGCACGAAAGCGUGGGGAGCAAACAGGAUUAGAUACCCCAGUAGUCCCUGUCUCUUAUAC
rnacentral:rRNA from 1 species